rnacentral:rRNA from 1 species
CCUACGGGAGGCAGCAGUUAGGAAUAUUGGGCAAUGGAGGAAACUCUGACCCAGCAACGCCGCGUGAAGGAAGAAGGUUUUCUGGAUUGUAAACUUCUGAUCAUGUGGGAAGAAGAAAGUGACGGUACCACAGGAGAAAGCCACGGCUAACUACGUGCCAGCAGCCGCGGUAAU